GACGAACGCUGGCGGCGUGCUUAACACAUGCAAGUCGAACGGUGAAGGGACUGGUUUUGCUGGUCCUGGAUGAGUGGCGAACGGGUGAGUAACACGUGAGUAACCUGCCCCCUUCUUCUGGAUAACCGCAUGAAAGUGUGGCUAAUACGGGAUAUUCUGGGUCUGUCGCAUGGUGGGCCUGGGAAAGAUUGCGCCUUUUUUGGUGUUUUUGGUUGGGGAUGGGCUCGCGGCCUAUCAGCUUGUUGGUGGGGUGAUGGCCUACCAAGGCGGUGACGGGUAGCCGGCCUGAGAGGGUGGACGGUCACACUGGGACUGAGACACGGCCCAGACUCCUACGGGAGGCAGCAGUGGGGAAUAUUGCACAAUGGGCGCAAGCCUGAUGCAGCGACGCCGCGUGAGGGAUGGAGGCCUUCGGGUUGUGAACCUCUUUCGCCAGUGAAGCAGGCCUGCCUCUUUUUGUGGGUGGGUUGACGGUAGCUGGAUAAGAAGCGCCGGCUAACUACGUG
rnacentral:rRNA from 1 species